GACGAACGCUGGCGGCGUGCUUAACACAUGCAAGUGGAGCGACGAAGCGGGCUUCGGCCCGUGGCAGAGCCGCGAACGGGUGAGUAACACGUGGGUAACCUGCCCCGAUGACCGGGACAACCCGAGGAAACUCGGGCUAAUACCGGAUGAGGUCACCUCACAUAAGUGAGAUGACUAAAGAUAGCUUCGGCCUUCGCAUCGGGAUGGGCCCGCGGCGCAUUAGCUUGUUGGUGAGGUAACGGCUCACCAAGGCAACGAUGCGUAGCUGGUCUGAGAGGACGAUCAGCCACACUGGGACUGAGACACGGCCCAGACUCCUACGGGAGGCAGCAGUGGGGAAUCUUGCGCAAUGCGCGAAAGCGUGACGCAGCAACGCCGCGUGGGGGAAGAAGGCCUUCGGGUUGUAAACCCCUUUCAGGAGGGACGAAGCCUGGCUGGUGAAUAGCCAGUCCAGGUGACGGUACCUCCACAAGAAGCCCCGGCUAACUACGUGCCAGCCGCCGCAGUAAUAC
rnacentral:rRNA from 1 species